rnacentral:rRNA from 1 species
UACGAAGGGGGCUAGCGUUGCUCGGAAUUACUGGGCGUAAAGCGCACGUAGGCGGUCUUUUAAGUCGGGGGUGAAAUCCUGGAGCUCAACUCCAGAACUGCCUUCGAUACUGGAAGACUUGAGUCCGGGAGAGGUGAGUGGAACUGCGAGUGUAGAGGUGAAAUUCGUAGAUAUUUCGCAAGAACACCAGUGGCGAAGGCGGCUCACUGGCCCGGUACUGACGCUGAGGUGCGAAAGCGUGGGGAGCAAACAGG